GAUGAAGAACGUAGCGAAAUGCGAUACGUAAUGUGAAUUGCAGAAUUCAGUGAAUCAUCGAAUCUUUGAACGCAUAUUGCGCUCUUUGGUAUUCCGAAGAGCAUGCUUGUUUGAGUAUCAGUAAACACCUCAAAGACUUCAAUUUGUUUUGAAUGGCUUUGGACUUGAGCAAUCCCAACACCAGUCUUUACGAUCGGUGGAGGGUUGCUUGAAAUGCAGGUGCAGCUGGACAUUCUCCUGAGCUAAAAGCAUAUUUAUUUAGUCCCGUCAAACGGAUUAUUACUUUUGCUGCAGCUAACAUAAAGGGAGUUUGACCGUAUUGGCUGACUGAUGCAGGAUUUCACAAGGGUCGGCAACGAUUCUUGUAAAACUCGAUCUCAAAUCAAGUAAGACUACCCGCUGAUCUUAAGCAUAUCAAUAAGCGGAGGA
rnacentral:misc_RNA from 1 species